rnacentral:rRNA from 1 species
UACGUAGGUGGCAAGCGUUGUCCGGAAUUACUGGGUGUAAAGGGCGUGUAGGCGGGAUCUUAAGUCAGAUGUGAAAUUCCACGGCUCAACUGUGGCGCUGCAUCUGAAACUAAGAUUCUUGAGUGCUGGAGAGGAAAGCGGAAUUCCUAGUGUAGCGGUGAAAUGCGUAGAUAUUAGGAGGAACACCAGUGGCGAAGGCGGCUUUCUGGACAGUAACUGACGCUGAGGCGCGAAAGCGUGGGGAG